UGAAAAUAUAAAUGGAGCGGACGACUAGGCUAUAUUCGCAAUAGUUGUGAUAAGGUAAAGGAAAUUUACUAUUAACCUAAUAUUAGGCUCCUGAACCUCUUGAAUUUAAGACUUUUGUGUUGGACUUUCAUUGAGAGACUCCCGUUUUCUACACAUUGAAUAAGGGAUAUCAGGCUUGGACUAUUCCCUGGAGGAGCAGUGAUCAGUCAAGGAAUCCCCUUGUUGGGCCACCACAUAGGAGAGAAGGAUAAAAGAUGAGUGUUUAAAUGUAUUUUCAAUUGCGUGAUUUAAUCUCAAAGCGCUCAAUGGAGCGCCAGAUUCAAACGCCGUUGUGUUGUGUUCAACCCUCUAAUGUUUUGAAUGCUUGGAUAUUGUCCCUUUUGUUAUAAAUGGAACUACCGAGUACACACGUAAAACAUUGACAACUAAAUGUGUCGUUUUGUGUGAUUUAGGAUAACAGCGCCAUAUAAGAAGAGGACCCAAUUGUUCCAAAGGGCCCUGAUUUUGCUCCGCCGCGGUCCGCGCGGAGGCUGCCGCAGCUGUGGACAGCAACAGGUGAGAAAAGGUGAGAGGAACCUGCUGACAUCCAUAUGACCGUAUGACCAAGACGAGACCUGUCUGUCCAGGAGACAGAGACCACACCAGAUAUGUUUUACCUACCAUGGUUGUGAUAAUUGGAUUUUCUGGACACCUGUAUGAGUGCAGUAUAUCCAGCGGAUUAUAACCAGGGAAAGGGUGAGUCAACUCUAAUUAUUGUCAUGUCAAGCAAUACAAAUGGCCAGCCAUCCCCCAACCCCUUCUCUCUAGCAUGGUAGCCUAGUUACUGCUGUUCCUCACAUCCACCUCAUAUCUACAGAACUUGUUUACUGUCUCAGAACACCAAAGCUAAGGAAAGGUAGGCUAGAGGAGGCCUUCAAGGGUGGAGUUUCUCUCUGUUUCACACGAGCUGAAGUUGCCACAGUUUCAUCAGAAAAAAAGUUGUUUAUACGCUAUACAAACCAUAAGCAUAAAAAACUCACUCUAGUCUCCUAACAAACAACUCUAAACAUAGAUAAGAAAAUGUUUUUCUGGGAAAUAAGUAGAGAACAUACUGUGUCCUACUUCCGCCCACUCUGUGCUGGGCCAAAGCAGGAGUAGAUAGUGAGGUGGGAUGUGGGGACAGGAGAGGAGAAUGGGAGUGGUGGGGUGUACUCUACUCACGGUCCCACAGUUAAUCCCGAGGAGGGAGCU
rnacentral:lncRNA from 1 species